rnacentral:rRNA from 1 species
ACUCCUACGGGAGGCAGCAGUGGGGAAUAUUGCACAAUGGGCGCAAGCCUGAUGCAGCCAUGCCGCGUGUAUGAAGAAGGCCUUCGGGUUGUAAAGUACUUUCAGCAGUGAGGAAGGUGGAUAUGUUAAUAGCAUAUUCAUUUGACGUUAGCUGCAGAAGAAGCACCGGCUAACUCCGUGCCAGCAGCCGCGGUAAUACGGAGGGUGCGAGCGUUAAUCGGAAUUACUGGGCGUAAAGCGCAUGCAGGUGGUUUGUUAAGUCAGAUGUGAAAGCCCGGGGCUCAACCUCGGAAUUGCAUUUGAAACUGGCAAACUAGAGUACUGUAGAGGGGGGUAGAAUUUCAGGUGUAGCGGUGAAAUGCGUAGAGAUCUGAAGGAAUACCGGUGGCGAAGGCGGCCCCCUGGACAGAUACUGACACUCAGAUGCGAAAGCGUGGGGAGCAAACAGGAUUAGAUACCCUGGUAGGCUCU